rnacentral:rRNA from 1 species
GCAAGUCGUACGAGAAAUCUUCAGCUUGCUGAAGAGAGUAAAGUGGCGCACGGGUGAGUAACGCGUGGAUAAUCUACCCUUGAAUCGGGGAUAACAUUGCGAAAGCGAUGCUAAUACCGGAUGAUAUCAUAAAGGCUUCGGCCUUAAUGAUCAAAGAUGACCUCUACCUGUAAGUUGUUGUUUGAGGAGGAGUCCGCGUACCAUUAGCUUGUUGGUAGGGUAACGGCCUACCAAGGCCACGAUCCCUAGCUGGUCUGAGAGGAUGAUC